UGAACGCUGGCGGCGUGCCUAAUACAUGCAAGUCGAGCGAACAGACGAGGAGCUUGCUCCUCUGACGUUAGCGGCGGACGGGUGAGUAACACGUGGAUAACCUACCUAUAAGACUGGGAUAACUUCGGGAAACCGGAGCUAAUACCGGAUAAUAUAUUGAACCCCAUGGUUCAAUAGUGAAAGACGGUUUUGCUGUCACUUAUAGAUGGAUCCGCGCCGCAUUAGCUAGUUGGUAAGGUAACGGCUUACCAAGGCAACGAUGCGUAGCCGACCUGAGAGGGUGAUCGGCCACACUGGAACUGAGACACGGUCCAGACUCCUACGGGAGGCAGCAGUAGGGAAUCUUCCGCAAUGGGCGAAAGCCUGACGGAGCAACGCCGCGUGAGUGAUGAAGGUCUUCGGAUCGUAAAACUCUGUUAUUAGGGAAGAACAAAUGUGUAAGUAACUAUGCACGUCUUGACGGUACCUAAUCAGAAAGCCACGGCUAACUACGUG
rnacentral:rRNA from 1 species